ACGGCUAAUUUUUAAACGGCCGGAUUUCUAACGGCUAGUUUUUGAAUGGCUGGAUUUCUAACGGCUAGUUUUUUUUAAUCUAUAUAUACAGAUCAGCUCGCUCUCAUAUCUCUCACACUCUUGCUUCUGCCUCCUCUUUUACUUCGCUUUCACCAUAUCUCUUGCAUCUUUCCACAACAAAAUGAGUCGCCGCCGAAGCUUGGCACGUCAAUUUUGCGAAGAUUCCUCGUCUGAUGAUGAGGAUCUCAUGAUGGUUGCAGUCAUAGCCGAGGAAGAAUAGGCGGGGUUGGAUGCUCCGCGCCAUCGAGGUUCACUUUCAGGACGACGUUCUCUUCAACGCGAAUUUGCGGAACGCUUUCAGUGUCUCCACAAAGACUAUUUUGCUGUGAAUUGUACCUUCAACACAAGGAUGUUUCGCAAUAGGUAUAGAAUGCACCGUCCUCUUUUUCUCACAAUAGCAAGAGCUCUAGAGGAACAUGAUAGCUAUUUUUCCUUGAGAAGAAAUUGUGCCGGUACUCCUGAUUUACAUCCUUAUCAAAAGUUGACCUCCGCAUUUAGAAUCCUAGCUUAUGGGAUAUCAGCUGAUGGUACUGAUGAGUAUUGUCGGCUAGCAAAGUCUACUGCUUUAGAUAACCUUAGAUCAUUUGUGCGUGCUGUGAUCGAGGUCUUUGGUGGUCGCUACCUGAGAUCUCCAAAUGCUGAAGAUACUGCUAGCUUACUUGCAAUUGGAGAGCAAAGGGGAUUCCCCGGUAUGCUCGGAAGCAUCGACUGCAUGCAUUGGCCGUGGAAACAUUGUCCUAGUGCACACAAAGGUUUUUUUGUUGGCCAUAAUCGUGUACCCACAAUCAUUCUUGAAGCCGUUUGCUUCACAAGACCUUUGGGUCUGGCAUUCGUUCUUUGGUUUACCAGGAUCCCAUAAUGAUAUAAACGUUCUUCACCGUUCACCUGUGUUUGCGAAUCUAGCUAAAGGGCAUGCUCCAGAAGUGAAUUAUACCAUCAAUGGUCACAACUACAACAUGGGGUAUUACCUUGCAGAUGGCAUAUAUCCGCGAUGGGCCACAUUCGUGAAGACAAUUCCAAAUCCGACAACUGAAAAAAAUAAACAUUUUGCACGAUGCCAAGAAGCUUGUCGGGAGGAUGUUGAACGAGCCUUUGGAGUUCUGCAAGCUCGUUUUGCCAUUGUACGUGGACUAGCAAGGUAUUGGGAUUUGGAAACACUCGGAGAAAUCAUGACAGCUUGUAUCAUCCUGUAUAACAUGAUAAUAGAAGAUGAGCGUGAAAGUCAUGUAGACUACCGAUCUCAGAACAUGGGAGAACUGGUGAUACCUUCUCGUGAAGAGGCAGCUACGUUGACUCAGUUUCUUCAAGCUCACAACGCUAUUCGAAACAAAGAAGUUCAUUGUCAGCGUCAAGUU